CGCCAGACUCCUACGGGAGGCAGCAGUGAGGAAUAUUGGUCAAUGGCCGGAAGGCUGAACCAGCCAAGCCGCGUGAGGGAGGAAGGCGCAGAGCGUCGCAGACCUCUUUUGCCGGGGGACAAAAGGCCGGACUCGUCCGGUCCUGAGGGUACCCGGAGAAAAAGCAUCGGCUAACUCCGUGCCAGCAGCCGCGGUAAUACGUAGGGGGCGAGCGUUAUCCGGAUUCACUGGGUGUAAAGGGGGCGCAGACGGCAGCGCAAGCCAGGAGUGAAAGCCCGGGGCCCAACCCCGGGACUGCUCUUGGAACUGCGCGGCUGGAGUGCAGGAGGGGCAGGCGGAAUUCCUGGUGUAGCGGUGAAAUGCGUAGAUAUCAGGAGGAACACCGGUGGCGAAGGCGGCCUGCUGGACUGCGACUGACGUUGAGGCCCGAAAGCGUGGGCAGCAAACAGGAUUAGAUCCCCGGGUA
rnacentral:rRNA from 1 species